rnacentral:rRNA from 1 species
UUGAACGCUGGCGGCAUGCUUUACACAUGCAAGUCGAACGGCAGCGCGGGCUUCGGCCUGGCGGCGAGUGGCGAACGGGUGAGUAAUACAUCGGAACGUGCCCAGUAGUGGGGGAUAGCUCGGCGAAAGCCGGAUUAAUACCGCAUACGACCUGAGGGUGAAAGCGGGGGAUCUUCGGACCUCGCGCUAUUGGAGCGGCCGAUGGCAGAUUAGCUAGUUGGUGGGGUAAAGGCCUACCAAGGCGACGAUCUGUAGCGGGUCUGAGAGGACGACCAGCCACACUGGGACUGAGACACGACCCAGACUCCUACGGAAGGCAGCGGUGGGGAAUUUUGGACACUGGGCGAAAGCCUGCUCCAGCGAUGCCGCGUGUGUGAUGAAGGCCUUCGGGUGGUAAAGCACUUUUGGCGGGAACGAAAAGGACUGUGCCAAUACCACGGUUCGAUGACGGUACCCGCAGAAUAAGCACCGGCUAACUACGG